AUGGGGCUCGUGCGUAAAGAUGUUAUGAAACCAGCUACUCUAGCUGGGGCAUAGUGACUCUCCGAAUGUUGUUGUCCGGAAAACAUCUCCCCUUUCUUAAGCAGGAGGUAACUUUUUAAAAUGUAUAGUGUCUGUGAAAGAUUAGAGAAAAGCAUAAUUCCGCUUGUUUCCAGUCAUCUAAUCAGUCUGUGUAGUUUUCAUGUUCUUGCCAUACUAAGCAGGUUCCCUCUGAGUACUCUGCUUUUGGCCAGCAGUCCUCUAUGUCUGCCCAGAGAUGGACUGGAAUCCCAUUCAGGGUGUACCAAUGCUUAGUGUCCUAUACUAAUAGGCUACAGUCCCACCCUUAUCUUUGUACGACAUAGUUUGUACCUGUUAGCUAAACUAAUUUGAUUGUAUAGACAGGGACUGACAUAACUUGUAUGUAAGUAUGCCGUUGUGGUAUAUAGGUUAAAAUGCACUGUAAUCUCUUGUCACAACAACACAGACACUUACUGUUCAGAGGAGUGGAAAUCCUUCAGUGGGGUAUUGUGAGACAAGGGAGUAUGUAAGGGAGAUAUGGGUGUUUUGCAUAGGCCUGUCAUUGGCUUCCUGAUCAUCUUCACCCACACCUAUGCAAGCAUCAGGGGCAAUUAGAGCUUCCAUUUGAGCUGAUCUGCAUUUCUCUGGCUUGGGGAGAGAGUGAGGAAUGGGCGAGGAACCCAGAGUGAGGUCACACACCCAUAUGCCGUAUGCAUGGGCAGCUGGAAAUGUUGUUGCUUAUUGAAUCCAGUUCAGGCUUGCGUGUUUAAUUCAGCGCAUUCAUAAAAUGUGAUAGGGCGGUGUUGGUGUGCGUUGAAUCCAAAGCAGGACCAGAUGUGAAGGGACUGGUGCGGUCAUGCCGUCUGAUCUGAUUGGUCAGUCUGUAGGGAGAUGGUGCAGGUCACAGAGGGGGUGGGAGAGUGGGGGGAUUUUGAUGCUCAUUUUGGCCUGAGGCAUCAAGUGUUCCUGACCGGGGGGGUGGCUGCAUUCUGGGUUUUUUGGGUGAUGUGCACGGACAGCUGGAAAUGUUUCAUUAACCACACUAGGACAUUUAUAUUUAGUGUAAUUGACGUAGUAUUUUUUCUUAAAAGUACAGAUGUACGUUUAAUUUUUUUUUUAAAAGUACACAUGUUUUUGCACCUUCUAAGUGCUGCUGGAUUUAAUCUGCCAAACGGUUUGUGUCCAUGGCACUCAACCAGUCUCCUUAAUGAAUUUUAGGGAGGCUCAGCAGACGGCUGCUCCUCCACCCACUUUACGUGGUUGUGUUUGAUGGAAAACUGAGUUAUUUCGCUUUUCUUCUACGGGCACUCCUUUUGUGAGGUGUAAACGUGUCAGUAGCCUCAGGUGACAGGUGUGACUAUAUUGAUGCCAUGUUGGUGUUGCUCUGUGAAAGAAGGUCACAGAGUUAACUGGGGUGGGGGCGCAUGUAGCGCAGAAUGGAACCUAUGCUGCAAUGGGCUGUGUAGCUGUAUUUUACCACAUUGCUCGGUGGUCACAUGACUGUCUGGUUCGUGUUGAGUUUUGCGUUUAUGCAUGGGUAGGGUUUGUGGCUCCAGGCAUAGUUGGCGCUGUCACAUUGCAUUAGAUGUAGUCGCUUGAUUCACUGUAUGCAAUUUAGGCUUUCAGUAAAGGAGCCAUUUUGGUUGCGUGACCUGCAGGCAGACCGGAAUGGGCAUGCCUGCUGUGAUGUCACAACCCAUGUGGUCUGCCUGGCCCUCUAUGGUGGUCGCUGGUCAUGUGACCAGACAUCCCGGUCCUCCCUUUGGCUGCUUUCCGCAAAUCUGCUUUCUGCUUUCCACUAGCCUAGUGGGUCAGUUAAGGUGCUGUGGUUAUCUCGGAAACUCUCCAUAGCUCUUUGACGCAAUUGUGCUUUCAGGCUUGUUGUAACCUCCACACUCCACGAGAAAACAUUCCCAUGUGCCUACUAGAUGAGAGAGUCUCUUCUGACGACUUUGGAGGUGUGUCUGCUGAUAAAGUGACAUGUGCUGACAGCUCUGUGAGUGUUUGUUGGUUUGUGUGAGCGUGUGUUGUUUUGUGUGAGCGCGUGCGUGAGCCUGCCCUUCUGGUUGGAUGGGGUGGCUUGUAUAAAAGGGCGGAGCGUGAGGCAGAGCCCACUCAGUACGACGAGUUUUCGCUGAGCUCUGGGAUGUUAUCUGCUGCCAGGGGCUUUUAGUUGGUGGGCAGGCGGGCCUGUGUGGAGAACCGGCGGUGCCCAACAGCCUGUUGAAGAUCAGAGCCGUGUUGCAGUCCGUCUUGUCGUGCUGGAGCCAUGAUAAUCAGGCUUGGCCGUCUCACUCCAGGAUACUUCAGGCUCCUCCAGCGGCAGGCGGCGGGUGAGGUGCGGACUCCGCCUCAGGACCGAGGCAUAAACCAGCUGGCUGCCCUGCUGGCCACCAUGGGCCUCAGCCUGUCCUACUACAGCGCAUGGCGGAUGACGGAGACGGUACGCGACGGGCCGGCCGCCUGAGGCCCCCCCCUCCUGAGCCGCUCUGCCCCCCUGCUCCGCGCAGCUACUGUCGACGUGAGCACCAGGUGACGCAGGGGGGUGCCCCAUUGAAAGCUGCUGGGGGGGCGUCUCCGCACUUGAAGCAAAAUUUCAUUUCGGUUCUGGAAUUUUGCGAACAUCAAAUAACAAAUGGCAGUGCUUUUGAGGAAUGCCCCCCCCCCCUCCCCCACCAUCUUUUAGUUUGUGUAAAGUGAUUUUAAUGGAGCUUUACUGAGCCCCUGGUCCAUACUAUGAAGACAAGACAGUUACUGGUCAAUAUUGAAAUCGGCUGUGUCCCAGACACAGUGUCAGCCUGAGAGUCCCAGUCAUGCUGAAAUGAAGGGGGGCCUGCUCGUCACCAGGGCGGCGACAAUCAGCCUCUUUCCUGUUUCCCAUUUGGUGUGAAAUCUGUUUCAACUGACUAUUAAAAGCACAUCUGCAAGACUGCGGAGGUACAGAGUCACACUACGAAGAUUUUGGAAGAUUCUGCAUGGGUGUGGUGGUGACGUUUUAGAAUGAGAUAAUAUGAUGUCUGCUGUAUUAUCUAUAUGUUUUAAAACUGUGAAAUAAAGCUCUGACCUAUACAUGUGAA